rnacentral:rRNA from 1 species
CCAAUAGCGUAUAUUAAAGUUGUUGCAGUUAAAAAGCUCGUAGUUGAACUUCGGGAUCAAUUGAUAUGGUCAUGCCUUGGUAUGUACUGUUCAUAUUGGUUCUCACCUUCUAAUGAACCAUAAUGUCAUUUAUUUGAUGUUAUGGGGAAUUAGGACUGUUACCUUGAAAAAAUUAGAGUGUUUAAAGCAGGCUCACGCUUGAAUACAUUAGCAUGGAAUAAUGAAAUAAGACAUCGCAUUCUAUUUUGUUGGUUUCUAGGAUCGAUGUAAUGAUUAAUAGGGAUAGUUGGGGGCAUUAGUAUUCAAUUGUCAGAGGUGAAAUUCUUGGAUUUAUUGAAGACUAACUACUGCGAAAGCAUUUGCCAAGGAUGUUUUCAUUAAUCAAGAACGAAAGUUAGGGGAUCGAAGACGAUCAGAUACCGUCGUAGUCUUAACCAUAAACUAUGCCGACUAGGGAUCGGAUGAUGUUGAUUUUUUAAUGACUCAUUCGGCACCUUACG